GACGAACGCUGGCGGCGUGCUUAACACAUGCAAGUCGAACGAAGAGCGACGGAAGCUUGCUUCUAUCAAUCUUAGUGGCGAACGGGUGAGUAACGCGUAAUCAACCUGCCCUUCAGAGGGGGACAACAGUUGGAAACGACUGCUAAUACCGCAUACGAUCUAAUCUCGGCAUCGAGGAUGGAUGAAAGGUGGCCUCUACAUGUAAGCUAUCACUGAAGGAGGGGAUUGCGUCUGAUUAGCUAGUUGGAGGGGUAACGGCCCACCAAGGCGAUGAUCAGUAGCCGGUCUGAGAGGAGGAACGGCCACAUUGGGACUGAGAAACGGCCCAGACUCCUACGGGAGGCAGCAGUGGGGAAUCUUCCGCAAUGGACGAAAGUCUGACGGAGCAACGCCGGGUGAGUGAUGACGGCCUUCGGGUUGUAAAGCUCUGUUAAUCGGGACGAAAGGCCUUCUGGGGAAUAGUGAGAAGGAUGGCCGGUACCGGAAAAGAAAGCCACGGCUAACUAGGU
rnacentral:rRNA from 1 species